rnacentral:snRNA from 1 species
GGAUGUGAGGGUGAUCUGGCUGUCUCAUUUGUUACCUCAUUGAUGGCCAGGAUUGAUCUGGCUGACUAGACCAAUCCUUCCCCCCUCAGGCCUCCAUGAGCAUCCCUCUUGAAGCUGUGCACUGAGUGGAAGAGGACAUCCGUCCCAGAUAGGAGUGUACCAUUUUUUAGUCAAAGGUGCAUUCUUUCUCCUCACAUUAACAUCUGUAACUAACUAAACAGAGCAAUUGUAACUUUUUAUGCCAAACAGAGAAAGUCUGUCAGGUGAACCAAAGGCUUUGGAUCAUCUGACAGAUUACUAUCUGGACUAGGCAAUUCCAAAAUUCCUUAUGUU